GAUGAACGCUGGCGGCGUGCCUAAUACAUGCAAGUCGAGCGAACAGACGAGGAGCUUGCUCCUCUGACGUUAGCGGCGGACGGGUGAGUAGCACGUGGAUAACCUACCUAUAAGACUGGGAUAACUUCGGGAAACCGGAGCUAAUACCGGAUAAUAUAUUGAACCGCAUGGUUCAAUAGUGAAAGACGGUUUUGCUGUCACUUAUAGAUGGAUCCGCGCCGCAUUAGCUAGUUGGUAAGGUAACGGCUUACCAAGGCAACGAUGCGUAGCCGACCUGAGAGGGUGAUCGGCCACACUGGAACUGAGACACGGUCCAGACUCCUACGGGAGGCAGCAGUAGGGAAUCUUCCGCAAUGGGCGAAAGCUUGACGGAGCAACGCCGCGUGAGUGAUGAAGGUCUUCGGAUCGUAAAACUCUGUUAUUAGGGAAGAACAAAUGUGUAAGUAACUAUGCACGUCUUGAUGGUACCUAAUCAGAAAGCCACGGCUAACUACGUG
rnacentral:rRNA from 1 species